GUGCGGGGGCAGGUGCGCGGGGGCGGGGCAGGUGCGCAGGAGCGAGGCGGGAGCGAGGCAGGUCCCGGUUCUGGCGGAUUUGGCCCAGGCACCCCCAGCCCCCAGAUCUGGCCGGGUGCGGCGGCUCAUGCCUGUAAUCCCAGCACUUUGGGAGGCCGAAGCAGGUGGAUCACAUGAAGUCAGAAGUUGGAGACUAGCCUGGCCAACAUGCCAGCCUCCAGCAUCGCCUCCUCUGGGAUCUUCUCUGACUUCCCAGUCGGUUUCAGAAGCCUCUGAUGACCCCAUGCGGAGAAGACUGCUCCCCUCACUGCUGGCACACGGCAGAUGCUCAACUCGGCCGGGCACGGUGGCUCACGCCUGUAAUCCCAGCACUUUGUUGAGACCGAGGCAGGCAGAUCACGAGGUCAGGAGAUCGAGAACAUCCUGGCUAACACGGUGAAACCCCGUCUCUACUAAAAAUACAAAAAAUUAGCCGGGCGUGGUGGCGGGCGCCUGUGGUCCCAGCUACUCGGGAGGCUGAGGCAGGAGAAUGGUGUGAACCCGGG
rnacentral:lncRNA from 10 species